UACGGAGGGUGCGAGCGUUAAUCGGAAUUACUGGGCGUAAAGGGUGCGUAGGUUGUUAUUUAAGUUGACUGUGAAAUACCUGGGCUUAACCUGGGUUGGUCAGUUAAUACUGGAUGACUGGAGUAGGGGAGAGGGUAGUGGAAUUUCCGGUGUAGCGGUGAAAUGCGUAGAGAUCGGAAGGAACACCGGUGGCGAAGGCGGCUACCUGGCCUGCUACUGACACUGAGGCACGAAAGCGUGGGGAGCAAACAGGAUUAGAUACCCUGGUAGUCCACGCUGUAAACGAUGUCAACUAGCUGUUGGUCAUAUAGAAAUGAUUAGUGGCGCAGCAAACGCGAUAAGUUGACCGCCUGGGGAGUACGGUCGCAAGACUAAA
rnacentral:rRNA from 1 species